rnacentral:misc_RNA from 1 species
AUGAUGGUUUAAUCAUAUCUUCCACCUGUACGCUUUUCGAAGGGAGUAUCACCACAUCCGUCUUCAAGAACUCCUAGAUCUAAAAAUCCAGACGCUUGUCAUGAUGGUUUAAUCAUAUCUUCCACCUGUACGCUUUUCGAAGGGAGUAUCACCACAUCCGUCUUCAAGAACUCCUAGAUCCAAAAAUCCAGACGCUUGU